rnacentral:rRNA from 1 species
GACGAACGCUGGCGGCGUGCUUAACACAUGCAAGUCGAACGGAAAGGCCUCUGUCGGGGGGUACUCGAGUGGCGAACGGGUGAGUAACACGUGAGUAAACUGCCCUUGACUUUGGGAUAACUUCAGGAAACUGGGGCUAAUACCGGAUAGGAGCUCCUGCUGCAUGGUGGGGGUUGGAAAGUUUCGGCGGUUGGGGAUGGACUCGCGGCUUAUCAGCGUGUUGGUGGGGGAGUGGCUUACCAAGGCUUUGACGGGUAGCCGGCCUGAGAGGGUGACCGGCCACAUUGGGACUGAGAGACGGCCCAGACUCCUACGGGGGGCAGCAGUGGGGAAUAUUGCACAAUGGGUGGAAGCCUGAUGCAGCAACGCCGUGUGCGGGAUGACGGCCUUCGGGUUGUAAACCGCUUUCGCUCAUGACGAAGCUUUGUGUGACGGUAGUGGGUAAAGAAGCACCGGCUAACUACGUG